UGGGGAAUAUUGGACAAUGGGCGAAAGCCUGAUCCAGCCAUGCCGCGUGUGUGAAGAAGGCCUUAUGGUUGUAAAGCACUUUAAGCGAGGAGGAGGGUACUGGUAUUAAUACUACCAGGUACUGGACGUUACUCGCAGAAUAAGCACCGGCUAACUCUGUGCCAGCAGCCGCGGUAAUACAGAGGGUGCGAGCGUUAAUCGGAUUUACUGGGCGUAAAGCGUGCGUAGGCGGCUAAUUGAGUCGGAUGUGAAAUCCCCGAGCUUAACUUGGGAAUUGCAUUCGAUACUGGUUAGCUAGAGUGUGGGAGAGGAUGGUAGAAUUCCAGGUGUAGCGGUGAAAUGCGUAGAGAUCUGGAGGAAUACCGAUGGCGAAGGCAGCCAUCUGGCCUGACACUGACGCUGAGGUACGAAAGCAUGGGGAGCAAACAGG
rnacentral:rRNA from 1 species